rnacentral:tRNA from 11 species
CGUGGCCUAGUGGUCAAGACGCCAGGCCAGGAACCUGAUGGUCGUAGGUUCGAGCCCGAG